GUAAGACUUCAGGUCACUGAGACGAUGUUUACAGCAGCAGCAGCAUGAUUCACAGCACUGGUGGAAGCUGAAUUAGUGAGGAUGACUCCUGCUCCUGUCAUCUCUAAGCUCCUCACACAUCUUUACCUGCACAUGAGGAAAAUCACUCCUGUAGAAUGCAGUGGUUCAUCAGAACCUCUGGGGAUGUCCUGUGGAUUCUGUGGAUCCUGUGGGUUGCAGGGUGGGUCCUACCUAGACCAGGCUGAUCCUGGACCAUCCCACAGAUGCUCCAUCAGAUCUGGAUGUGGGGAGUGUGGAACCCAGAUGUUCAGAGGGAGAUGAUGCCACAUCUGGUCCAGCCGAUGGAAGGUCUUGAAGUUCUCUGACUGGCCUGGACUGAAGAUGGUCGUCUCACUGGAUUUAAGGUUCAGAUGCUCAGUAACAAACUCCACCAAUGAGCCAACAGGGAAGCUUUAGGUUUAUUAAAUGUUGCUAUGAAGGUAUCGCUGUUUUUCUUUGUGAAUGCAAUGUGCUCCAACUGAAACUUGAAUUAGAACUUAGAAGUAAAUCCUUCCAUCUGAAAGGAUUUAGUUGCAUUAAUGACCUCAUAACAUUCUAAUUUUUAUUCCAGUCUUGGUUGAAAAUAGAAUCUCUGUAUUGAUUCAGGUAAAAACUGAACUUCACAGCAUGUUGGAGCAAAACAACCAGAUGAAAACUGUGAUGGUGUUGGAUUGUCAGAC
ensembl:lncRNA